rnacentral:lncRNA from 1 species
GAUGGCCUCCAAGACAGAAAUAGGUUAUGAUGGAGAAGGAUACUGAGACGUCUAGAGGUGGAGAGAGUGACUGCCCCUGAGGAAAUGCCUAACCAACUGCACUAGAGGCAACCAGACCAGAGGGACAAAGAAUGUGAGCUCAGAUUUCCUAUGGAUUUUCUGUAAAACUUUGAGCAUCUAUAAAUGAAGAUAAUGAUGGUGAUUUCUUCAAGGAACUACUCUGAGGAUUCAACAAGGUCACAUUUGUUAAGUCUUUUCUAUGACUGAUGAGCAAGGAGGAAGGCUGGGUUGACAAUGGAGAGUGGCAGGAGGAGGGAUCUGAAGAGAGCUAUGG